rnacentral:rRNA from 1 species
UACGUAGGGGGCUAGCGUUGUCCGGAAUCAUUGGGCGUAAAGCGCGUGUAGGCGGUCCGGUAAGUCCGCUGUGAAAGUCGGGGGCUCAACCCUCGGAUGCCGGUGGAUACUGUCGGGCUUGAGUACGGAAGAGGCGAGUGGAAUUCCUGGUGUAGCGGUGAAAUGCGUAGAUAUCUGGAGGAACACCGGUGGCGAAGGCGGCAUCCUGGACCAACACUGACACUGAGGAGCGAAAGCCAGGGGAGCAAACGGG